rnacentral:rRNA from 1 species
GAGUUUGAUUCUGGCUCAGAACGAACGCUGGCGGCGCGUCUUAAGCAUGCAAGUCGAACGGCAAGAAAGGAGCUUGCUCCUUUCCUAGAGUGGCGGACUGGUGAGGAACACGUGGGUAAUCUACCCUUGAGAUGGGGAUAGCCGUUAGAAAUAGCGGGUAAUACCGAAUACACUUAUUAUUUCACAAGAGAUAGUAAGGAAAGGAAGCUACGGCUUCGCUCGAGGAUGAGCCUGCGUCCCAUUAGCUAGUUGGUGAGGUAACGGCUCACCAAGGCGACGAUGGGUAUCCGGCCUGAGAGGGUGAUCGGACACAUUGGGACUGAGAUACGGCCCAAACUCCUACGGGAGGCAGCAGCUAAGAAUAUUCCGCAAUGGACGGAAGUCUGACGGAGCGACGCCGCGUGGAUGAAGAAGGCUGAAAAGUUGUAAAAUCCUUUUGUUGAUGAAGAAUAAGGAUAAGAGGGAAUGCUAUCUGAUGACGUAU